UACGUAGGGCGCAAGCGUUGUCCGGAAUUAUUGGGCGUAAAGAGCUCGUAGGCGGCUUGUCACGUCGGGUGUGAAAGCCCGGGGCUUAACCCCGGGUCUGCAUUCGAUACGGGCUAGCUAGAGUGUGGUAGGGGAGAUCGGAAUUCCUGGUGUAGCGGUGAAAUGCGCAGAUAUCAGGAGGAACACCGGUGGCGAAGGCGGAUCUCUGGGCCAUUACUGACGCUGAGGAGCGAAAGCGUGGGGAGCGUACAGG
rnacentral:rRNA from 1 species